rnacentral:rRNA from 1 species
GAUGAACGCUGGCGGCGUGCCUAAUACAUGCAAGUCGAGCGAACGGACGAGAAGCUUGCUUCUCUGAUGUUAGCGGCGGACGGGUGAGUAACACGUGGAUAAACUACCUAUAAGACUGGGAUAACUUCUGGAAACCGGAGCUAAUACCGGAUAAUAUUUUGAACAGCAUGGUUCAAAAGUGAAAGACGGUCUUGCUGUCACUUAUAGAUGGAUCCGCGCUGCAUUAGCUAGUUGGUAAGGUAACGGCUUACCAAGGCAACGAUGCAUAGCCGACCUGAGAGGGUGAUCGACCACACUGGAACUGAGACACGGUCCACACACCGAAGGGGGGCAGCAGUAGGGAAUCUUCCGCGAGGGACGAAAGCCGGACGGAGCAACGCCGCGUGAGUGAUGAUGGUCUUCGGAUCGUAAAACUCUGUUAUUAGGGAAGAACAUAUGUGUAAGUAACUGUGCACAUCUUGACGGUACCUAAUCAGAAAGCUACGGCUAACUACGUG